CUUCCCGAUGAAACCCUAAUCCCCCGGUUCAUUCCGCAUCUUUAUUCGCCGCAAACUUCUCGCGAGAAGCUUGCGGCGGAAACCCAAAUCCACUUCCUCUAUCCAUCUAUAUUUUUUAUCUAUAUAUAUAUCUAUCAAUCCUGGAUGUUUUAAUAUGAUUUCCCCUCCUUUCUCUUGAACUCUUUACAUAAUUGGAGAAUGAUGGGAUGAGGAUAACUGAGCUCCCUCUUCUGAAGUGCGCAUUGUGGAUGCUCGCUGGCAGAAUCGAACCUUUAACAUAUACGCCAACACUGAGCCUUGUUCUCCAAUUUAUUGUAUUUCUCAUAUUGUUUGGAGUAGUUUAUAGUUGUAAAUGUUUUGCUUUUUCUAUUUUUUUAUGUUUUACAAGUAGAGAUAAGGAUGAAGUAAAAUUUUAAAUUAUCCAACACUUGAUCUGAGGAUCUUUAGAUCUGACUGAUGCACUGGUUUUUUACUUCUGAAUCGUAGUUCACUUGUGAUACUACAUUUUAAAAAUAUUUGCAAUGUGUCAAA